ACUUGACGUGGUAGAAACAGCAGAAGCACUCCACUUGAUUUGGUGGAAACAGCAGUCCAACAGGAUAUGGUGUAAACAGCAGAUGUACCCUACUGGCCAUUGUGGAGACAGCAAAUGGACCCAACACGACAUGGUGGAAACAGCAGAUGUGCCAACUGGACUUGGUGGAUACAGAAGAUGGACCAAACAGGACAUGUUGGAAACAGCAGAUGUACCCUACUGGCCAUGGUGGAGACAGCACAUGGACCCAACAGGACCUGGUGGAAACAGCAGAUGCACCAACUGGACUUGGUGGAUACAGAAGAUGGGCCAACAGGACAUGGUGGAUACAACUGGAGGAGACUUGCCUGAUGAUGUUGACCUUCCAAACAAGACAUAUCAGAGGAGAUAACUGACAUUGAUCAGCUCUACUGGUCAGAGACAAAAAAGCUUAUGAUAGUAAACAAGGGCAUGACAUGGUGGAAACAGCUGGAGGAGGCAGGGCCAAUGGAUGCUAAUCUUUCAAGAUGUGGCAACAGCAGAUGUCCUCAACAAGACAUGUGUAACAGCAGAUGCACCCAACCGGACACUGAUUGAUAGAAACAACUGGAUGAUGCAAAGUCAGUACAUGCUGAUCUACCAAGAUGUAGAAACAGCAAAUGCACCCAACAGUACAUGGUGAAAACAGUAGAUAAACCCAAAAGAACCUGAUAGAAACAACUGGAGGAUGAAUAGCCAAAGGAUGCUGAUCUGACAUUUAUCAGCUGCAGCCAACAUGCAAAACUUUGUGGAAACAACUGGAAUAGACAAGCUUGAUGAACCUCUUUUAAGAUGGGAAAACAGCAAAUACCUCCAAAAGGACUUAGUGAAAUAAAUCUUGAGCAGGCAAGGCCAUUAUGAAUCUUGAGGCAAACUUGAUAGACAAUGAUUUUCCAAUAUGUGAAAACACCAGCUACACCCAAAAGGAAUUGGUGGAAACAAUUAACACAGACAAGCCUGAUGGACAAUGAUAUUCAACAUGUGGAAACAGCAGAUGUUCCCAACAAGACAUGGUGGAAACACCUGAAGAUGAUGCCUGAUGGAUGUUGACUUUUCUUCCAAGAAAUACCACAGUUGAUAGCUGACACUGAUCAGAAAAUCAAAGAAAAUUUUAGAAGGAACAUCCUUGAGAUCAUGUGUGUGGAUGAAGAAGCAGGA